GACGGCCUUAUAAUGUUGAAACACAGGUUCUCGUAUGAUCACCAAAGUUAAGCACCAACGAACCUGGUUAAUACUUAGAUGGGUGACCGCUUGGGUUAACCAGGUGCUGUAA